GCCAUACACCAUGCCUCCCUGAACAUACCAAUUUCAUCUGAUUUCAGAAGCUAAACAGGGCUGGGAAUGGUUAUGACUUAAGUGGAAGAGAACUCUAAAUGUGACAUCCUAAGAGGAAUUCAUUUGUGUUUGUGC
rnacentral:rRNA from 1 species